rnacentral:rRNA from 1 species
GAUGAACGCUGGCUACAGGCUUAACACAUGCAAGUCGAGGGGAAACGGCAUUUGGUGCUUGCACCGAAUGGACGUCGACCGGCGCACGGGUGAGUAACGCGUAUCCAACCUUCCCGUUACUGCGGGAUAACCUGCCGAAAGGCAGACUAAUACCGCAUGUUCUUCGAUGACGGCAUCAGAUUCGAAGCAAAGAUCCGUCGGUAACGGAGGGGGAUGCGUCUGAUUAGCUAGUUGGCGGGGCGACGGCCCACCAAGGCGACGAUCAGUAGGGGUUCUGAGAGGAAGGUCCCCCACAUUGGAACUGAGACACGGUCCAAACUCCUACGGGAGGCAGCAGUGAGGAAUAUUGGUCAAUGGGCGGAAGCCUGAACCAGCCAAGUAGCGUGCAGGAUGACGGCCCUACGGGUUGUAAACUGCUUUUAUGCGGGGAUAAAGUGAGGGACGCGUCCCUUUUUGCAGGUACCGCAUG